ACAUCGCGUCGCCACACCUCGACUCUCCUCCGCUCUCCCAUCUGACCCCCCUCCUGCCUACCGCCUCCUCUCUCCUCGUCCGCCGUGCUGCGUCAUCUCUCUCCCAUCCAUCACCCCUUAUUCCGCGGCACCCCUUCCGUUUCUUCUCUUUUCCAUGUCUCCGUUUCCUCUAUCCACCUCAUAUUGUUAUUUUCGCCAGAAAAAGUACAAUGUGAGCCUUGUUGUCUACGUGGUCCUGCAGUUCUUCGCUUUCCUGUUUGUGCUGGUGGGGACGCCCUCUGACAUGUUUCGCGAGAGGUUCCGAGGUGGAGAUCCUUUGUGCAUUACGCUGUGGGGUCUAAGGGUAACAUGUAGCUCCAGCGACUACUUACUCUUCAUCGAGAUGUACUGGAGCGAUUGCCGAGGACGAGUAGCCCGUUUCCGUGCUGCACAAGGGUGCGCCAUCAUAUCCCUCUUUGUUUUCGCUGCGGCCCUCAUCGCAGGGCUUACGUUGUUGUUCUGCUGCUCCUCCCUCCGCUUGGUCUGCCUGGCGCUGAACAUCGUUGGCAGCGUCACCGUGUUUGUUGUGUGGGUGGCCAUGGCGACAACUUUUCACCACAACGAUGGCUCUCGUUGCCCACCAAUGAAGGUUGACAGCGUCUAUGGCUCCGGCUUUGUUCUCUUUCUGAUCGCUUGGCUACUGGAUAUCAUCAACAUCAUCAUCUUGCUGCUCCCCUACACGCCCAUGGAUGCUGAUCCAAAUGAAAGAGCAGGAUAACAAACAAUGAAGACAGCGUCUGAAGAUAACACGAGGAACGGAGGGCGGACUUGGCAGCGGCGCGGCCCCUCCUCCGCACUGGCGUCCUCGUGGUGCACCUGGUGUCAGCGAGAAUGAGGGUGCACGAACUGCGGGCUCCCGUGUGUGCCCUUCGCCGACCCAGCGCUCUCGCCCCCGCUGCCGUCACCUCUCUCUUUUCGCGCUGCCUCGCAUUGCCCCCGCUGUGCGCGUGCAUUUCAUGACGAGUGUGGCUUUGCGCGUCUCCUCUUCCUCCUCCCCCACUCCCUCCCCCGAAGCGCCGUUGUGGUGCGCGCGCAUGCCUGCUGGGUCGUGUGUGGCAGCGCGGCGCGCAGGGGGAGGCGCCGCGUGCUGGUAUUCACGGCCGCGCUGCCCCCUGCGUGUGUCCUCCCACGCGCGGCUGCCGUCAGCGUUUCCGUUUCCUCGCGUUGUGUUGCCGCGCUCAUGCGCGCGCCGACACGCCGACGCAUGCGGCCUUCCGCCCACUGAUCCCCCUCCCCACACCCCACCCCUCCGCUGUGAGCUGCUCGCCUUCAGCAGCUGCUGGGACGAGCGCCCGUGACGGCCGCCCGGCGCAACCGUUGGCGGAGCGCGGAGGAGGAGGAAGUCGCGGGGUCCCGGCAGGGUCGCCGUGCGCCGGACCGUGUGCGCGGGAAAGGAAGAGAGCAGGCGUGUGGCGAAUGCCCCCCCCCGGCUCGGAGGGGCAUGCGGGCGCGACGCAGGAGAGAAGCCGACGCCGUGGCAGGGAUGGCGGGGAGGCGAAGAGCCGCACACGGCGUCGGGAGUCCGUCUGCCCUUCUUCAACUGCAUACCCCGCCGUCGCGGCCGCGCGUGUUUCUGGUGUCCCCCUCGCGCGCACGGUGGACUGUGUGGAUGGAGAAGGGUGAGAGGAUCGGUGCGAGGUGUCAGAGGAGGUGGUGGCGGGGGUGGGGAGUAGAGGGGUGGGCUAGCAGGCGCAUGCGCCCCUGCGACCCUCCUCCCCCUCGAUCCGUGAGCGGCCCCGCGACCCUCCCUCCCUAACGCUGCCGUUGUUGUGGAGUGCCGCCCCACGCUCUCGCCUUACUCGACGCUCGUCUCUUUCGAGCUCGCUCAUGCUUGCUGUUCUGCUCUGCGCGCAGAGAGAGGUGCGUGGUGUGCGCGUGUGCUGGCGGAGGCGGCUGGCUGUGGCGACGACGCAGGCACGUGCAGCAGCCGUGCAGCACAGCAGGCGCGUACACGCAUACACACCUAUACACGCGGGAACGGGACUGCAGGCGAGGGGCAGGACCGGAGAAUGCGCGGCGGUACGAGCGAGUGCGACGGUGGAGCGGAGCAGAGGCGGCGCUGCUUUCCUGCUCGCUCCUCUGGCGUCUGGCUCGAGCCCGUCUGCGUGUGCGCCCCCUGUGUCGCUGUGUCUCCUCGCCUCUCUCCUGCGCGAUUUGUUUCGAUGGCUUCGUUGCUGACGCACCCCACCGAGUCCUCCAGGCUCCGCCGUGUGGAGUUGCCACGCCGUAUGUGACGGGUUGCAGCGCACCGACGCGACUGUGGGGAGAGAAGCACUGCAUCCAGGUCGACUACACUGCAGGGCCUCACAGGGCCCUGACCGGAGGCUGGGCAGCAUUCUCCCUCGGCUCGUGCGGCACGUAGAGCCACCGCUCCCCACGAACGCCCUGCUACCCUUUGCUACCCCUCCCCACCGACGGAGGCCAGCGCCUCCGUCAUGGAGCACGACCCUGAGGGGGCGGCCCCGCUGGGAGCGCGGCGUGCCGUGCGCCCCGGUGCGUGUGGCGCCGAUGCAGCGGCAGGACGGCUCGUCCUCGACGACGCGGAUGUGGCCGCCGUGCCACAGGGCGUAGGCGGGCCGUGGCUGUACGCGCGCAUCUGCCGGCUUGUGCGUGGUGGCGUGGAGGCGGUGAGAAGGAAGUGCAUGCCUCGCGGACUCGGACAGACAUGCGAAUCAGCACACCUAAGCAUAAGCAAAACGACGCGUGCAUAUAUGCACCGAUAUCUAUAUCUACAUAUAUAUAUGGCUGUGUGGAUGUCUGUAACGACAAAACCGCCAAACGCCUGUUAUUACGCUGUCCUCGCCUGACAGGGCGGAGGGCGUGCGUGCGCUUUUUACUCCUCUCUUGCUUGUCCUGUGUUUCCUUUGCGGCACGCCUUCCUGCGCGCGUGCCUGCUCGUUAUCAUGCUUGCUUCCGUUGUCCGACUCGUUC
rnacentral:misc_RNA from 1 species